UGUUGAGGAUUUUGGUGUGUUUAUGUUGAUGAAUGGAGUGUUUUGUGUUUCUGUUGAGGAUUUUGGUGACUUUCAAUGAGCUAGAGGCUGCUGCCAUGGCAUGUGCUGAACUGAUGGCCGCUAGACGACUUGUAAUCUGGCUUCAGGUGGUGGUAGUAGUUUUUGUAGAUGGUAGUAGUAGCUUUUGUGGUUGGUAGUAGUAUUUUUUUUGUUAGUCGGAAACCUCACAGUUGUAGCUUUUGUAGGUGGUAGCUUUUGUAGGUGGUGGUAGUAGCUUUUGUAACUGGUGGUAAUAGCUUUUGUGGCUGGUGGUAGUAGUUUUUGUGUUUCGUCGGAAACCUCACAGUAGUAGCUUUUGUAGGCGAUGGUAGUAGCUUUUGUAGCUGGUGGUAGUAGUUUUUGUGGCUGGUGGUAGUAGUUUUUGUGUUUCGUCAGAAACCUCACAGUAGUAGCUUUUGUGGGCGGUGGUAGUAGCUUUUGUAGGCGGUGGUAGUAGCUUUUGUAGCUGGUGGUAGUAGCUUUUGUGGUUGGUGAUAGUAGUUUUUGUGUUCGUCGGAAACCUCAAAAUAGUAGCUUUUGUAAGCGGUGGUAGUAGCUUUUGUAGUUUGUGGUAGUAGCUUUUGUGGUUGGUGGUAGUAGUUUGUGGUAGUAGCUUUUGUGUUCAUUGGAAACCUCACAGUAGUAGUUUUUGUAGGCGGUGGUAGUAGCUUUUGUAGGCGGUGGUAGUAGCUUUUGUAGGUGGUAAUAGUAAUUUUUGUCAUCGUCGGAGGUUAGUCGGAAACCUCACCAGAGCCGGAAACCUUGCCGGAGGUCGGCCGGAAAUCUCACCGGAGAUCAGCCGGAAACCUCGCCAGAGGUCGGCCGGAGACUUUUCCAAAAUGAGAGUGGUUGUUGACUUUUUAUACUAGUGGCAUUUUUGUAAAUAUAAAAGAGAGAAUCUAAUGUUUUUUAUUAGAUGGCAGUCUGUAAUUUUGUUCAACUUUUAUACCUAAUAUAAAACCCUAUUUAGGCUUAGGUGGACUUAUGUGAGUAAAAAUGUUUGGGUGAACUUAUAUGGAAUAAAAUGUCUGAACAUGGAUUUCUAUGUAAUUGACCCUAACAAAUUAAGGGGUUUAUAUGGUGGUCUCAUCAAAAAACCUUGCCCAGAUACAAGGGAAAAGAGUACCACACCCCUUUACAGUGACAUGCUCAAUCCAACAUUAUACAUGCAAGUACACACAAACAAUAUCAAGUGCAAUCAAGUACUCAAAGUCUUGUGUAUUAUCCAAAUUUAAAAAAGAAAAGAAAAAAGGGUUUCAGUCCUUGCAGCAGCACACCGAAAACGGAUUCUUCAUGGCCAAAUCUUCUUCUAUCCUCCUGG
rnacentral:lncRNA from 1 species